CCUGAUGCAGCACGCCGCGUGCGGGAUGACGGCCUUCGGGUUGUAAACCGCUUUCAGCUCCGACGAAGCGCAAGUGACGGUAGGAGCAGAAGAAGGACCGGCCAACUACGUGCCAGCAGCCGCGGUGAUACGUAGGGUCCGAGCGUUGUCCGGAACUAUUGGGCGUAAAGAGCUCGUAGGCGGUUUGUCGCGUCUGCUGUGAAAACUGGAGGCUCAACCUCCAGCCUGCAGUGGGUACGGGCAAACUAGAGUGCGGUAGGGGAGAUUGGAAUUCCUGGUGUAGCGGUGGAAUGCGCAGAUAUCAGGAGGAACACCGAUGGCGAAGGCAGAUCUCUGGGCCGUAACUGACGCUGAGGAGCGAAAGCAUGGGGAGCGAACAGGAUUAGAUACCCUGGUAGUCCAUGCCGUAAACGUUGGGCGCUAGAUGUGGGGACCAUUCCACGGUUUCCGUGUCGCAGCUAACGCAUUAAGCGCCCCGCCUGGGGAGUACGGCCGCAAG
rnacentral:rRNA from 1 species